rnacentral:lncRNA from 1 species
ACCUGGGGAAGCCAGAACUGCACACAGUAUUCCAGAUGUGGCCUCAUCAGGGCAGAGUAGAGGAGGAGGAGGAUCACCUCCCUCGACCUGCUGGCCACAAUCUCUGUAAUGCACCCUGGGGUACCACUGGCCUUCUUGGUCACAAGGGCACGCUGCUGGCUCAUGGCCAACCUGUUGAAGGUUACAUGAAGUAACAGGGAGCAGAAAGGUCAGGAGGACACCACCAGCAGGGGAAGGGAAACUGCCAGAGGGAACAACACCUGCGGAGGGAUGCUGGUGUGUAUGCAGGGCAGGAUGCUGCCUGAAAACAACAAUUCCAUUAACUUGGAUUCCCAUCUCAAUUCCUUUGGAUUUCCAGUCACGCCCUGGAUCUGCAGACUGCCAUCAACACCUGCUCUCCUGCAGUGCCUGGUGCUCCAGAAACCCCAGGCUGCCCGUUGUGAGGCCAGGGAUGCGCAGCUUUCCCAGAGCCAGGCAUUUUACAUUGUUUGUAGUCUGCAUUUUGGAGUCAUUACUCAGUGGUACAAGAGUGCGUGCA